GAAUAGUUUGAAGCGAAAGGAACCAUCUAACAGAUAGCUUACUGUGGAAAGGCGCAGAUCUAUUUGUUCCAGUGCGAACACGUUAUAUCUAAGGUAUCUUUCUCGACAUUCCUUGACUUUCCUUGGUAUUCCACCGAGUAUCAUCCUCUAAAUAAUCCACCUCUUCAUGACAUACAUACAUAAUAGCGUCGAUUGCUUUUGAUAGUAAGUUAUACCGUUGAUUUGAAAUUGUACGUUGGAAAUCUACAGUCCAUGAUACCAAAUGUCAAAGCUGACA
rnacentral:lncRNA from 1 species